rnacentral:tRNA from 1 species
GCCUUAGUGGUGUAACGGUAACGCGCUCGGCGCGUAUUCGAGAGGUCCAGGUGCGAAUCCCGGCGAAGGCA